UCCGCAAUAGUAUAGUGGCUAUUAUCCCUGCCUGUCACGCAGGAGACCCGAGUUCAAUUCUCGGUUGCGGAG